ACCUGGAGCUGUAGGUGGUUCCAAGGGUUGGGCUGUUCGCCCAUUAAAGUGGCACGCGAGCUGGGUUCAGAACGUCGUGAGACAGUUCGGUCCCUAUCUGCCGUGGGCGUUUGAGAUUUGAGAGGAGCUGUCCUUAGUACGAGAGGACCGGGAUGGACGCACCUCUGGUGGACCUGUUGUCGCGCCAGCGGCACAGCAGGGUAGCUAUGUGCGGACGAGAUAACCGC
rnacentral:rRNA from 9 species